rnacentral:rRNA from 1 species
GCAAGUCGAACGGUAAGGCCCUUUCGGGGGUACACGAGUGGCGGACGGGUGCGUAACGCGUAUGCAACCUACCUUUCAAUGGGGGAUAGCCUGGAGAAAUUCAGAUUAAUACCGCAUAAGGCCACGGUACCGCAUGGUACAGUGAUCAAACCUUUAGGGUUGAAAGAUGGGCAUGCGUGACAUUAGUUAGAUGGUGAGGUAACGGCUCACCAUGACUACGAUGUCUAGCUGGUCUGAGAGGAUGAUC